rnacentral:misc_RNA from 1 species
GAUGAAGAACGCAGCGAAAUGCGAUAACUAAUGUGAAUUGCAGAAUUCAGUGAAUCAUCGAGUCUUUGAACGCACAUUGCGCCCCCUGGUAUUCCGGGGGGCAUGCCUGUCCGAGCGUCAUUGCUGCCCUCAAGCACGGCUUGUGUGUUGGGCUCCGUCCCCCCGGGGACGGGCCCGAAAGGCAGCGGCGGCACCGAGUCCGGUCCUCGAGCGUAUGGGGCUUUGUCACCCGCUCUGUAGGCCCGGCCGGCGCCAGCCGACAACCCAUCAUCCUUUUCAGGUUGACCUCGGAUCAGGUAGGGAUACCCGCUGAACUUAAGCAUAUCAAUAAGGGAGGA